GCAAAAGGCACUGGGACAUGAGAUCUUAAACUGAACAGUGGAGAGAGAGUUAAUAUGUGGCAAUGGAAACAGUCAUGAGAGCUUCUGAGGCCAUUCCCUCUUUGCAGACAGACCUGCUGUGAUUUGACCAUGAUGUCAUCUUCUGAGUAAACUAUUCCUCAUGUAAUGCAAGAUCUGGGACCUCUGGGAAGGAUGUUCUAUUAGUCCAAACAUAGUUCCCUGAAAUGCAUGCACUCCACUGAAGAACAACCCUGUCUGAGCGUCAGGGAGACAGACAUGGGAAUCAAAGUGGCCACAAGUUUUUGGGCAGGUAAUUAUUUCCUGUUUUUGUUUAGUCUUCCAUUUAAUGCACCAGACUUAACCACCUGCUAAUGAUAUGUGGGAGGCAUUUGUAGAAUU
rnacentral:lncRNA from 1 species